rnacentral:tRNA from 1 species
GCCGAUAUAGUUUAAUGGCAAAACAAAGCAAUGGUAAUGCUUAGCUCCAAGUUCGAUUCUUGGUAUCGGCA